rnacentral:rRNA from 1 species
CGAGCGAACAGGGAUAAGCCCAGCACCGAAUCCCGCGGCCCAACCGGUCGCCGGGAAAUGUGGUGUUAAGAAGGAUCCGUUAUCUCGAUGAACGACGCCUGUCCAAGUCCAUCUUGAACGGGGCCAUAACCCAUAGAGGGUGCCAGGCCCGUAUGACGGUGUUGAUCGUCGAGAGGAUCUCUUCCGAGAGUCGGGUUGCUUGAGAGUGCAGCCCUAAGUGGGUGGUAAACUCCAUCUAAGGCUAAAUAUAACCACGAGACCGAUAGCGAACAAGUACCGUGAGGGAAAGUUGAAAAGAACUUUGAAGAGAGAGUUCAAUAGUACGUGAAACCGUUCAGGGGUAAACCUGAGAAACCCGAAAGGUCGAAAGGAGAGAUUCAUUCGCGGCCCGGAUGUUCGUCGUAGCCAUUGGGUUGACGGAGCGUUCUUCGCGAGCGCUUCGCCCCUUUGUGUUCCGAACGUUCGUCGGACGCGUGCACUUCUCUCCUAGUAGGACGUCGCGACCCGUCGGGUGCCGGUCGAAGGCCCGCAAGGGAGCCCGUGAGCACGACGCAAGUCGGCGUUCGCGGACCUGCGGUCGCCUGGCCGGCCGCCCGACGGUAUGCAGACGGCGUGAGGCCGCGAAUUUUCGCGCCCGGCCUGCGGCAAGCGCGCCUUACGCGCCGGCUUUCGGAAUUACCGCCGAUGCUGGCCUGAGGUGGCUGUUCGCCGUAGACGUUCUCGGGCAGACCUCUUAGCCGAUCGGCGACGCUACAGCUUUGGGUACUCUCAGGGCCCGUCUUGAACCGGGGACCAAGGAGUCUAGCAUGUGUGCAAGUCAUUGGGUCUAACUAAACCUAAAGGCGAAAUGAAAGUAAAGGUCUUUCGGGACCGAGGGAGGAUGGCUGGCCCUCUGUGGUCGGCCCGCACUCCCGGGGCGUCUUAAUCUCUUUUAGAGACGAGGCGCACCAAGAGCGUACACGCUGGGACCCGAAAGAUGGUGAACUAUGCCCGGUCAGGACGAAGUCAGGGGAAACCCUGAUGGAGGUCCGUAGCGGUUCUGACGUGCAAAUCGAUCGUCUGAACUGGGUAUAGGGGCGAAAGACUAAUCGAACCAUCUAGUAGCUGGUUCCCUCCGAAGUUUCCCUCAGGAUAGCUGGCGCUCGAUGCGUACGAUUCUCAUCCGGUAAAGCGAAUGAUUAGAGGCAUUGGGGUCGAAAC